CCGGGUUUAUCUGGCUCCGCCAGAUGCCUUCACACCUUGCGUAUCAAAAACGUUGCUUCGGCGGGACACCUGCGAAGGUCGUCGGCGAAAGCGGGCGAGCGCCCGCCGAACUCACCCAAACUCGAUUCUACCUGCAGUCUGGUAACAUGAGAAAUCUUCA
rnacentral:misc_RNA from 1 species